UGAGCACUACCCAUUGCUUUGGCUGGAUGACUCCAGGUGUUUAACUCAUCCAACUACACUUCGUACAGGAAAUACACAGUCAUGUUGUCUCAAUUACAGAUGGAAGCCUGAGCUGUUUCCUUCUUGCACUGGAAACAGAAAGCAGUCAGGCAGAAAUCCACCUGCGGCUGGUAGGAGUACACUGCUGAAGCAACCCUUCCACUGACACAAUUUCUGAUGAGGCUUCAGUGAACAGUAGAUGGAUCAACUGAAAGGCCAGAUGCAUCUCUCAGGUCCUGUGUCACAUCCUUGCUGGAUUAUUUCCCAUUUCUCAAAUGUUCAACUGCUGUAGGUAUUUUUUUUAGGCCUGCUACUUCUUUUUUGUCCUCAAAUUGUCCACCAUCCUCAAAAAUAUUUAAUGGUGCACUGCACACCAUGCAUAGAUAUGCAAAAUUGUCAGCUAAUAGCUCUUUAGGAAUCUUCUUGUUGGUGAAAAAAUGCUAUUUCAUAUCUGUCAAACUGUGUUAGCGUUUGCAUUUUUUCUAGCUUCAACUAAAUAAAUUGGAAGAAAUUGUGUUUGCUUGUAACAAAGAGCCUAAAGAUACAAUUUAAAACUGCUCAUUUGUUAGUUGUCUGUUAUAUGUAGACACAGCACUGGCUAAGUUUUUACUAUUGUUAUUAUUGCUUUUAGAAUAUCAAUAACAAAAAGUUGAGUUAGAAAAAAUCUUGUUUUUCCAGUUAGAGGCACCAGCAUUCUCAGGCAUCUAUGACAAUCAACCUGCGGAGUAAUCCUGGAAGUGCUGUUUUCUGGAGGAACUUAUUUUCACUAUUGAAUUUCUACAUUAUUAUGGUUAAUUAUUUACAUUUUUUCUUUUGUAAAUGUGACCUGUUGAACCCUUAAAAAAUGAUCAUUUCUACAUUUCUUAAACCCAGAGAGUUCUCAUGCUGUGGGGUUCUGGAAAAAUUCCCUAAGCAGCAGGUUGGAAAGAUCUCAUCUGCAUCUUCAGAUUUAAGCUUGAUUGAACUGCCCAAAGUGAUGAUGGAGAUCCUAAAUGAAGCUACGGAAUGACCCUUUUAGCACCCACACAGGAUGCAGCAGACUCAGAUUGCUUUGGGCUGAUCAGAUUAUGUGGGCGUCUUUCCACAGGACUCGUUACGGUUGCUGUCAGAAAGGUUGUUAUAAAUCAAAAUGUGGAUCUUCCACUGCCUAUGCAUAAUCAGACAGGCUGACAUUUGGCCUUUUAUAUGGCAGAUCAUCACAGCAGUAAAAUGCAAGUGUUUUCAGUUAAAAAUGUUAUUACCUCCUGAUAUGGCAGUUUGCAGCGAUGCUUAGAAUGCCCAGUUAAAAUGUGAGAGGUGAUAGAUCUUUAUACCAAUACCUCUACAGUCAAUGUUUUCAAUAAGUAUACGUGAUCAAAUCAAAGACAACUUAUUGCAGAAAACAAGAGCUCAUGUGUUGGACUUGGAGGAAAUAUUAAAUGCUUUGCAGCCUGAGUCCAUUUGUAAGAAACCAACAGUGAUCAGAUCCUGACCUCACAGCAACUCUUCGAUGGUCUAACUCUCAUUUCUGUGUUUCAGCCAAUGAUGCUUAUUCCAACGAAGUAAGAUUAAUAGAACUGAUGCAACAGUCCAAGGAACCUGCAGACGUCAGAGCCUUGCUCCAGUUGACUGAACUAUGUGAAGAAAAUAAAGGGUGGAAUGACUGUAUGGCAUACAUCUUUAAUGACUUUUGAAAAAACAAGAGGUUCACUAAUCCACACAGGGUCAAAAUGACAUGUACAGGCUAAAUUAUAUAUGCACUCACUUAAAUCUUUUUAUAAGGGUUUCUAGAAUGUAUCUUAACUUGAGAAGGCCAAGGCCUGUUAACUUCUCAUUUGUAAGCAUGAUUGACUACUACUGGUAGUUUAUCUUUGCAGCAUAAAAAAGGAUUUUCUUGACAGCGCUAGUUGGAGUGAUCAGAACAAUGGGAAAGUCCAAGGAAUUCACAGAAGAUCUAAGAAGGAGAACUGUAGAUUUACACAUUUCUAAACAACUGCAGAUUCAAAGAUCAUCAGUUCAAACAACUGUAUGAACAAUCCAAGAACUACCAGUUCUCAAGCCUGCCACGACCUGGAAACCGCUGGAACUCCACAUCACUGUGGACAGUCACACCACAUCACUAUCCAAAGUUACAGAGCUGAUCAGUAAAGAUGCCUGUCCUUAAAAAAAAAUCCACACCUUCACUCUUGAAUGAUACUUGCUGCUACCCACAUAUACAAGCAAAGUGUCUUCUGGAGAAAAGUUCUAUGGUCAGACAAGACGAAGUUUGAGCUAUUUGGCCACAAUGACAACAGGUAUGCUUAAAGGAGUAAAGAUGAGGCUUCCAAACCUAAGAGCAGUAACCACCUGUCAGGCAUGGUGGUAGUAGCAUCGUGCACUGGGACUGUUUUGCACAAAAUGCUUAGAAUAAUGAAGAAGGAGGACUACUUCCAAAUUCUUCAACUUUACCUCAAAUCAACAGCUAGAAGUUUAAACUUGGAUACAACAGGACAAUGACCUCAAAUAACCAAAACUGGUUAUGGAAUCGAUAAAGCGGGCUAACAUUAAGCUUGUGGAAGGGCCUUCCCAAAGCCUCAAACCUAUUGAAAAUUUGUGGAUUGCACAUAGAGCUGGGUCCAUGCCAGGGGACCAAUCAAUUUAAGUGAACUUUACCAAUUCUACCAAGAAGAGUGGUCAAAUAUCCAGCCAGAAUUAUGCCAGAAGCUUGUUAAUGAACUACAAAUGUACAAAUACAUACCUCUGACCCAAAAAACUAAACUUUUAAAGUAAUUAAAGUUGUAUCCUGUACAAUCAUUCCACUGUGGAAAAAGAAAAGUUCAAAGAACUCAUUAAAAGUCCCAAAUUAAAUGCCAUUCAUGCUCAGGAUGAGUGGAUGUAAACUUCUGACUACAUCUGUGUUUCCAGAUUGGCAUUAUUAACAUGACAACACCAGCUGUUAUUCAAGCUAAUAUUGUUCAGUAUGUGGCCACCAUCUAUGUCAAUGUUUGUUACUUUGGUAUAAGUCUAGAUGAUUAUAAUAAGACUACAUGAAGCUGAGAGGUCCGGCACGAGCAUUUCAUUUUCAGAGAUAAGUGUUGGAUACAAAGAUGACUCACUGAUUUUCUUCUUAAACUGAAAUAACAGACUUUUAACAGUUUCUCUAUCACUGACUCUUUCUUGUGUGUUUUGGUGUUUUCACAGAGACUUCACUUUGGUGGGCCAGCUCUGACCCUGGGAUCAUCUGGGACUGUAACAAUAUAAUUUCUACACACUGAUGGGAUUUUCUGAGUUUUCUUCAGGAACAGAAAUUCUGUCAGAAGAAGAAAAAUCUGUAAAAAAAAAAAAAGAAAAAAAAAGAUCUCUGGGGAAGAGUGUGUAGGAAAUGGACACACGUACUAAACACAGUUCAAGGAAAUGGAGUCAGGGUGAUCUGUGCAAAGAUACCACCACAGGAUGUAGCCUCGCCCAAUGUCUUUAAUGCUGAAAGCAGCUUCCUUUUUUCUUUCUUCUUUUUUUUUUUAAACCGGCCUUGCUUUGCCACAUUCACCUUUGCUUCCUUCCUUUAAUAAUACACUUCCUUUCUCUGAUUUCCCGCAUUCAACUCUUUCAUAAAUGGCGUCCUCCACAGACAAAGUGAUUGAUUCUCAGUAGAAAUGCCUUCAGAGUGAACAGGAAAUUACAGUAACCAUGUGAACAAACCCUUUACCCUGUCACAGUGGUUACGAUUUAAAGUGCAGCAAGCAGUUUGAGUGUUUUAUAUACAAUUACUGCCCGCUUUGCAAAUACUGCUCUGCAAGCAUUCAGUGUAAAACGCUUCAUGAAUUUAUAACAAAUGCAUUUAUGUGACUAUAUGAGGCUGUUAAUACAUCAGUAUUAAUUCUGUUAAUGUUCAAUAUUAGUUUAUACACAAUGCUUCACAACAUAUGGGUCAGGUCCCUCAAUAGGGUCACCAAAUACAGCUAAGAGGUCGAGAAAUAAACAACUAAAGUCAGAAACUUCUCCUUCUCAGAAAAUUGCACGAAUGCAGCUUUAUAUGGCUCCUUAAUUUCUUUUCAAUAAAGAGAGAUUAUUAGAAGGAAUUGAACAUCAUUUGUUGAUGCGCAGAAUGCAGUUUGAUGUCAACUGCUAUAAGCUGCUGUCUUUGAUAUCGAGUGGUCUCUGGAAACUUGUUUCCAGCUCUAGAUUUUAUUCUUGGACUGUACUAGAGCAGCUUUGUGUGAUCCACAGUUACAAAUAAUACUUUUUUACCUUAUACUUGAUGUCAGUGCCCAGGUUAAGCUCCUCCCCAUUUAA